GCGGGGCGGCCAAAAUUCCCUCCCAAAUUUUCCUUCCCAGAAAUCAAAACCCAUUGCCGAAUUCCCCCUUAGACCUCUUGGCUCUCUCACUUUCUCAAGCAAAUCGGAACCCUAGCCCCUCCAUUGCUACCAGGCUGUCGUCUCAAGCCCCUCCAAACCUAGCCCCUCUGUUUCCCACUUACCUCAUGUAGCCCCUUUAAGAUUCUUAGCCCUUCCCUCAGUAGCCGCAGCCCUCUCUCACGCAGGCUCGCAGCAGCUCCUCCCUCUCGGUUGUCUCUCAGCCCUCCGGCAACCAUCUCUCCCACUGAUUUAGGUUAUGAAACUGCUAUUGUUCAGGUUCAAGGUGUAAUUGGAUUGGUUUUGUACACUACAAAAGUUAGGUAAGCGGUGCUCUUAUUUAAGACUUUCUCUAAAACUGAUUGAGGUUGAUUUUGUGAAACACAUGCAUAUUUUGUUAUGAAAACAAUCUCAGUUAUUUUCUAUACUAGUCUCAAUAUCUUAACUUUGAAAUCUCACAUUUUAUCAUAACAGGUAUAGACAGGAGCAGUUUUUGUACACUGUUUCUCUACUGUAUAAAAUGUGAAUAUUGAAUCUAAAAUUUUUAUCUGAUUUAUAUGGUAAUAUAUGUUCAGUAUGCUAUUCUGCUAUUGAUUGUAUAUGAUUGUAGGUCUGAAAUAUUGAAGAUUUAUUUACAUUGAAGGGGUUGGGAUUGAAUCUAUGUGUAUAUUGAUUUCGUCGACUAGUUUGUGUUGGUAAUUUCCACCCAAGAGUUCGAUAAAAUUCCCAGUAAAGAACAGAAAGCAAAACAAACCAAACCAUGGGCAAUCAAGAAGGGACUAAGAAAGCACCAAGUCUUCCACUAGGGUCUCACAAUUCGAUCUCAGUUAGAGAAGAAAUCACUUAGAGAAAGCAAGUCAAAGGUGGUUCCAACAAUUCCAGGUCCAUGCUAAAACUUGAUCAAUUGCAGAAGCUAGCGGCAUGGACCAGUGGACAGACUGCUACUCCUUCUCUAAGUGCUUUUUUCAGGCAUCUUUUGGCUACUGUGACUAUGAGAGAGGCCUUGAGUGUACUGCCUGAUCCUUCACUAUUUUCUUGUGAGAGGUUUGUUUGUAACUUGAAUUCUUCCAUGGUUGUUUUGUUUCUCUAUAGUUGUUUGUAGUGGUAUUGGCUCAACUUUGAAGUUUUGAUGGUUAGGUUUUAUACAGAUGUAAAUGUACAUCUUUCUUGAAUAUUGGAUUCACAUGUAGAUGGAAAUAUUUCUUCUUGUUGAAAACUUGAAUGAUUACCUGUUUUGGUGUUCAUGCUUAUGAUAAGCAAGGAGUAAGAUUAUAAAUGAGAUGUUUUAUUGACA